UACGUAGGGUGCGAGCGUUAAUCGGAAUUAUUGGGCGUAAAGAGCUCGUAGGCGGUCUGUCACGUCUGCCGUGAAAACCCCGAGGCUUAACCUCGUGGCUUGCGGUGGAUACGGGCAGACUAGAGGUAGGUAGGGGAGAAUGGAAUUCCCGGUGUAGCGGUGAAAUGCGCAGAUAUCGGGAGGAACACCGGUGGCGAAGGCGGUUCUCUGGGCCUUACCUGACGCUGAGGAGCGAAAGCGUGGGGAGCGAAACAGG
rnacentral:rRNA from 1 species